CAACAGAUCUUCAGAAAGUUAAUCUUCAUCUUUUUUAAUUCAUGGUCUUUUAAAUACUAUGCUUACACCCUUUGCAGGGUAGUGCUAGAACUUCUCCCUCAAAGGAAGAGAUUCACACAGGGUUCUGAUCACCUCUGUGAUGAGAAUGUGCAUUUUAUUUUUUAUUUUCUAUUUUUUUUUGUUAAAAUUAAAAGUAAAGGUCAAUGUCUGACUUGAAGACAGUGCCAGACUGACAGCACUGGAAACCAAAAUCCUCUUUCAGCUGCAGAAUAGAUCCCACUAAGCAACAGUUACAGAAACUAUUUCAGAGUUUUGUACUAGUAUGAAGAGGCACGUGAUCUCUACAGCAAAGAACUGCAUAAUCCAAGGCAAGGCAAAAGGCAAGGCAAGGUAAGGAAAAAGAUAGUACUGAAUGGUCAGAAUCCAAGAAAAGAUGUAUCUUUUUCUGAAUAUAAAAAUUUGAUUAUACAAGUUGUAAGACUAAUUCGAUUUUACAUGCCCUCUGAUAUAAUUAGACAUAUGUGUCUAUUCUCAUAGUAUUAAUGACCAUAAUUGAUUUCAUAAGCUUUUUCACGACAAUUCAAUUCUACUUUUUUUGUGUGUGUGUAUGUGUGUGUCAUUUAUUUCCAGGUAAUAUUCUUCCUUGAUCCUAUCCUCUAGGAGUGUUGACAAAUGCUAAACGCAACACCAACUAAAAAAGUCAUGUACUUUCUUUUUACUAACAAGUUUAAUCUGGUGAACGUUGAUCGUUGUUUCCUCUGCUCUGUGUGCUUUUAGAGAGAAAGUUCAAUACUUGAUAAAAAGGAUUAUUAGAGUCACAGAGGCCUUCUGACUCAUGCAGUCUAGCAGUCUGCUAUUACAGACAACCAUAUCAUAUAAUCUCUUUCAUAAACUAAAUAGGCUCUACCUUAAAAUUAAUUAAGCUGAUUCCAUUACUUUUAUUAGAAGAACAUCCCUCAUUCCUCUGAUAGUUCCUCUAAUUUCUAACCUAAAUUUUAUAAUGACUCUUUGUUUUUGUGCCAACAAUGUCCUUUAGAUUAAUUAGUUCUUCUCCCUCCCUGCUGUUUAUUCCCCUCUGGUGCAUUUGCAGAGAGUAGUCAUAUGUCCUCUCAGCUUUCAUUCUGAGAGACUAACUAAGCCAAA
rnacentral:lncRNA from 1 species